GGGUCUCGAGCGGCGACGGGUGAGUAACACGUGAGUAAUCUGCCCUUGGCUUUGGGAUAGCCACCGGAAACGGUGAUUAAUACCGGAUACGACCACUUCUCGCAUGGGAUGGUGGUGGAAAGUUUUUUCGGCCAGGGAUGUGCUCGCGGCCUAUCAGCUUGAUGGUGAGGUAAUGGCUCACCAUGGCUUCGACGGGUAGCCGGCCUGAGAGGGUGACCGGUCACACUGGGACUGAGACACGGCCCAGACUCCUACGGGAGGCAGCAGUGGGGAAUAUUGGACAAUGGGCGGAAGCCUGAUCCAGCAACGCCGCGUGAGGGAUGACGGCCUUCGGGUUGUAAACCUCUUUCAGCAGGGACGAAGCGCAAGUGACGGUACCUGCAGAAGAAGCACCGGCCAACUACGUGCCAGCAGCCGCGGUAAUACGUAGGGUGCGAGCGUUGUCCGGAAUUAUUGGGCGUAAAGGGCUCGUAGGCGGUUUGUCGCGUCGGGAGUGAAAACCAGGUGCUUAACACCUGGCUUGCUUUCGAUACGGGCAGACUAGAGGUAUUCAGGGGAGAACGGAAUUCCUGGUGUAGCGGUGAAAUGCGCAGAUAUCAGGAGGAACACCGGUGGCGAAGGCGGUUCUCUGGGAAUGACCUGACGCUGAGGAGCGAAAGUGUGGGGGAGCGAACAGGAUUAGAUACCCUGGUAGUCCACACCGUAAACGUUGGGCGCUAGGUGUGGGGUCCAUUCCACGGAUUCCGUGCCGCAGCUAACGCAUUAAGCGCCCCGCCUGGGGAGUACGGCCGCAAGGCUAAACUCAAGGAAUUGACGGGGCCCGCACAGCGCGAGCAUGCGGAUUAUUCGAUGCACGCGA
rnacentral:rRNA from 1 species